CCACAUCAAGGUGCACCUGGCCGACGAGGCGCUGCUGCUGCCGCUCACCGUGCGCCCGCGGGACACGCUCAGCGACCUGCGCGCCCAGCUCGUGGGCCAGGGCGUGAGCUCCUGGAAGCGCACCUUCUACUACAACGCGCGCCCGCUGCACGACCACCAGACCGUGCGCGACGUGCGCCUGCAGGACGGCUCCGUGCUGCUGCUCGUCAGCGACCCCAGGUAGUUUGUGUUGGAGGACUUGGAGACGUGGCCAGGGACACCCAGGGCACUGGAAGAAGGAGAGGGAUGCAGGGUGGGCACCUUUUGGGAGGUGCCUCUCUCCCACCCUGGGAGCCCUGACUUUGUUCCAGGUUCUGGGCUCUCUGGUGGACAGUGAAGCACUGGCCUGAUCAGAUGACACCCACUGCCUGAUGGAAUUCCAGCCCCUGACCCUGACCUUGGAUGGUGACUCCCCUGCCCAGCCAGCCAGCCAAGGAGCAGACGCCUUCCACUAGUGCCGUGCCAUCCUGCAGCCAUUGGGCUUCCUUCUUGGGGCCUGGCACGGCCUGUCUGCAGGGGGAUCCACUGUGCCAUCUUGGGAGCCUGCCAUGAGCAGCCAGCGAAGAGGAGCACGUGGGGCCAGCCUGGGGGUCCCUUACUUCGGUGCCUCGUGCAUUCUCUCAGCCACGCCUUAGCCCAAGCUGCGCUUCCUGCCUGGAGCCCCUUUUCCAGUCUAUCUCUGCGCGUCUAAUCCGCCAGCCUCCUCCAGGAAGCCUCCCCUGGUUACCUCCUUCCCAGCCCGGGAGCACUUCACCCUCCGGGGGCCCCCACCAUCCCCCUCUGCUGUGAGCAGCCCUGGCCCAGGGGCGCAGGCCAGUCCCUCACAAAAUCUCAAACGAUGAGGGGGUGGAGACUGGAUCGAUCCCUGGCCUCCAAGGCGACCCUGCACCCCGCUUUCGUCUGUCUCCCCACAGUGCACGUGCACCUACCCCUUUGACCGUGCCCUUCUCGUGGUGAAACCCCGAGGCCUCGCCUCCUGCACGGGGCCUCGCGGGCGGCGUCUGAAGGGCUCAGGCUGAGGGGGGCGGGCUUUUGGGGGACCCCGGGGGCAGCGUAGAAGCCUGAGGCUGGGAGGCAGUGUC